rnacentral:rRNA from 1 species
GGAGCAUGCGGCUUAAUUCGACGCAACGCGAAGAACCUUACCAAGGCUUGACAUAUACAGGAAUAUGGCAGAGAUGUCAUAGCCGCAAGGUCUGUAUACAGGUGGUGCAUGGUUGUCGUCAGCUCGUGUCGUGAGAUGUUGGGUUAAGUCCCGCAACGAGCGCAACCCUCGUUCUGUGUUGCCAGCAUUUAGUUGGGGACUCACAGGAGACUGCCGGGGUUAACUCGGAGGAAGGUGGGGAUGACGUCAAAUCAUCAUGCCCCUUAUGUCUUGGGCUGCACGCAUGCUACAAUGGCUGGUACAAACGGCUGCGAUACCGCAAGGUGGAGCGAAUCCGAUAAAGCCAGUCUCAGUUCGGAUUGGGGUCUGCAACUCGACCCCAUGAAGUCGGAGUUGCUAGUAAUCGUAGAUCAGCAACGCUACGGUGAAUACGUUCCCGGGGCUUGUACACACCGCCCGUCACAUCACGAAAGUCGGUAACACCCAAAGUUAGU